UUUUUUAUUAUAUUUUUUGUCUCAUCUUCCUAAUUCAGUUGACUCAGAAAUUGUCCCACGUAACCAAACGAGAGAAACUCCUCAACCUCUUCCCUCCAUCGCCCACCACCGCCGUAGGCCUUACCAUAGCCGACGACCGUCCAUCAUCCUUCAAUCAUUCACACUCAUUCAAAUUGAUCAUUCUUCAUAUUUUCAUCUUCCCCCCUACAGCACUUUCAUCUUCUAAACCAUCGUUAAUGGUGGCAGGGGAGUCCGACGCGGAGGUUGGAGAGGUUAUUGAUCAGAUUCUCACUUCCGCCACAUGCACUGUCGCUAAUCUCACGGUCUUGCGCGCUCAUACAAUCUUCAGAUCUCGAUUUCGGUCUCAAUGUCACUUUAACCGCUCUGAUUGUUUUUUAUUAAGGUGUGGCAUUUUCGACGGUUGUUGCUGGAGUCGCUGAAAGUUGAAUUGCAUGACGAAUUGGAAUUUGUUGAGUGUAUAGCCGCCAAUAACUCCAAAAACUAUCAGAUAUGGGGGUUGUUGGGCUUGUUUUCAGCAACGUUCUUCGGAUGCAGAUAGUAAUGGGAGCUGAAGAAUGUGGAGUGUUCUUGCUUUACUAUACAAGAUGUUGGGACCACAGGAAUAUUUACUAGAUUUCUGGUUGAACAGAUUUGGCAUAUUUGCACUCGUUCCUUGAGCGAUCUGUAAUUCACAGGGAUAUGAAAUCAAGUAAUAUACUUUUGGAUCACAGCAUGUGUGCUAAGGUUGCAGAUUUUGGUUUUUCAAAAUAUGCUCCACAGGAAGGAGACAGUGCUGUUUCGCUUGAAGUAAAAGGAACUGCAGGAUAUCUUGACCCUGAGUACUACACAACCCAGCAAUUAUUUGCAAAGAGUGAUGUCUUCAGCUUUAGUGUGGUUCUUCUUGAAAUUGUGAGUGGCCGGGAGCCUCUCAAUAUCCACAGACCGCGAAAUGAGUGGAGUUUGGUUGAAUGGAUGUUUGUAGGCAUUAUAGAUGAUGGGUUGCUGAGAAACUAGGGCCUGAUGCUAGAAACAUUGAACUUCAAUUCACCAAGAAGAUCAAGCUUUUUGCCAUCAGAGGCUGAGGAUGGCAAUGGCAAGAGAAUGCUGCAUGAAAGGCUUAGGAGGAUUGUUCAAUGGUGCCAACUUCUUUCAAGUCAAGUCACUUUUAAAUCCUUCCGGGAUUUCAAACCAUAUGCAGGGUAACAUGCUAACAUACUAACAUUUUUGUUGUUUUGUUUUGGUUGUGUUAGUGUGUUCUUGUCAAGUGUUACAUAGAAAUUGUGUUUUUGUUUCUGUCUCCAAUAUGUACUAGUUUCAUGCAUUGGGUAAAAAUACUCAUUUACUAGAAAGGGCAGAGCAAGUUUUCUAAAAACUCAUUUACUACACUAUAUAAAUCUCAUAUAUCACUCAGUGAUAUAAAAAUAUAUCAAUUUAAUAUACAAGAUAAAAUAAAUAGAAAUAACAUAGCUUGAUUAGUGUUUACUAAAUUAAAUAUCUUGGUGUGAAAAAACAGAACAAAGUUCAAUAGAGCCAUAAUGAAGAAGCUCCUCAAUCAUUUGGUCAAUAUGAUCUUCUUCAAGUGGCUUGAACUGCAGACCAAUUUUAUCCAUAACCUUAACUUUUUUGACAAUCCAAUUUGGCUCCGAAUCUUGUUUCACCUCUUUCUCAUCAUGUGUUCUCUUUUAUUAUGACAAUUAAAUCACCCUUAUCACUAAUUUGCACUUUGGAGUAGUUACUAUUAAUGCUAUUAUUAUGAUUAUCAUUAUUAUUGGGCACUACUACCCUUUGAGGAUCUUGUUGUGAAGAAGGUUGCCGAGUUAAUUGCAAAGAAGCCAUGUAGCAUCUGUGCAAUUUUGCGGUCAAAGUUGCUGAGGGAAGCUUUAAAGAAGAUUGAGAGACAUUGUUGUUGUUGGUAUUUGUAAUGCCACUAGGAUCUGCAUUUCUAGUAUUUAUCAUGAUCAUGAUAUAAAAUACUCAAUUAUUUUUUAUCAUUAGCUAUGUACUAAUAAUUGGUGUAACAUAGACAUAUAAUAUUUAUGUUGGUUAAAUUUGUAUUAUAUUUUAUUAUUUUUUAA